AACGAACGCUGGCGGCGCGCUUAACACAUGCAAGUCGAACGAGAAGGCGUAGCAAUACGCUGGUACAGUGGCGAACGGGUGAGGAAUACAUGGGUAACCUACCCUCGAGUGGGGGAUAACCCGCCGAAAGGCGGGCUAAUACCGCGUACGCUUCCGAUCUUGCGGGAUCGGAAGGAAAGCUGUCCCAAGGGGAUGGCGCUCAAGGAUGGGCUCAUGUCCUAUCAGCUUGNGGUAGGGUAACGGCCUACCAAGGCAUCGACGGGUAGCUGGUCUGAGAGGACGAUCAGCCACACUGGCACUGCGACACGGGCCAGACUCCUACGGGAGGCAGCAGUGAGGAAUAUUGCGCAAUGGGCGAAAGCCUGACGCAGCGACGCCGCGUGGGGGA
rnacentral:rRNA from 1 species